rnacentral:lncRNA from 1 species
UAGGACCCUUAUAAAAGAGGCCUGAGAGGACGCCGCUUUUUAAGCCCUCCCGAUGUGUGAGGACACACAGGAGCCACCACCCAGAGGAACAGGCCUUUAGCGGACACUGAAUCUGCUGGUGCCUUCAUCUUGGAAUUUCCAGACUCCAGAACUCUGCAGUUACCAUCCUCAAAUACAAAAGUAAUUGAUACUCAGCAAUGAAAGCUGCAUGUGCAUGUAGGGGAGAGAAGGAGGUUUCACCAGACUGACAAAUGGAGUCAUGGUUCUGGGAAGGAGCAGGGUGUUGGGUGCACAUUUGUCACCUGGGAAUACUACCAGCAAGCCUCAUAUUUUUUCUGCAAUAAAUGCUGGAAAGGAAAAAGAAAUGCUGAAAAUGAUGAAGUAAUUCCAAUUCUGCUGAUAGAGACCUGGAAAUGCACUAGGGAAAAAUGACAAGAGUGUAACACACUGCUGCUGAUUAUGUCAUAAUGAUUAUUUUAUGCAGUUUGAAGAAGACUCACUGUUCUAAAGAACCAGCAUCCAUUUCCAGGAAAGAGCAGGGAUUCUCCAUCCAUACCUCCAUGGGAUGAACCACAUUGAAAAUAAUGAUUUCCUUCUAAUAGCUUACUCUACAUUAUAUAAAGAAUUCCUUGGGAUUCUAAAAAAACCCUAAUAAUAUAGUAAUAAUAACAACAGAGGUUUGUUUUUGCUAUUUGUAGUCUAAUAUUCAGAUUGUGAGCAGCUGUUUUGGAAGGCAAGAUGAGUGAAUAGAUGUGAAGUCGUCUUAGAAAUGUCCAGGCUUCCAAAAGAAAUUUCACUUUUAAAAGAAAAUAGCCUAAUGUGAACCACAUUAGAAUCAGCACAUCUAAUCCUACGGAGAAAAAGUGACCAUGGCUGUCUACACAUAUAGGCAGGUCAUUCAAGCUCAUUCAAAAAUUCCACUUUCACUGGUGGUCUGUCUGUGUCCACAUGGUGACAAAUGGCCCCGGCAGGGUUUUUGAGGUGUUGGCACCACCAGUGAGUGCCAGAUGGAAUGUGGUGAAAGUUCUGAUUUGUACCUUUCAGACUAAAGGUACUUUCCAGAAUGGACGGGUCCUUCUGGCUGCCUUUUGUAAGUGCAGCCACAGGUAUUCUGUUGAAGCCUGUGGGUGAGAAAGACAUAAACAGGUGCUAUAAAUUUGUCAGACCAGGAAGCCACAGGCCGUUUAGUAAAUGGUAAACCCAAUGGCCCAAAAGAACAAAGGGGUCUCUUUUCAUCAGAAUGAUCAGGCUCAUUCAACAAAUAUUUAUUGAGCACCCACUUUCUGCCAGAUGGAAGAGCCACUGACAAGGCCUCUUAUUUAAAGAGUGCCUGAAGUGAGGAAGCAAACCCCCAAAUCAUCUGGGAUGGUAUGAACUGAACUCUGGACCGCAACAUGAUGGAAAGGAGGAGCUGGGGUCCCAAGGGCAGUCCAGACAACCUGAACCUGUGACACUCACCCUGCCCACACACUCUCAGAGCUGCAGCUUUCACGGGGGUGACAUGAAUGCUUGUAAAUGAGCUUGCUGAAUGGGAGACCAAGAACGAUGAUAUUGAGCUGUUACUACAUGCCAGACAUUUAACCCUUUCAUCCAGGUUAUCUCAAUCAUUCCUUACAGAAAGGCUUUUGAGAUGUCCUUGCAACUGGAGGUGCCAUAUGAUACAGUUCUGCCCAAAGACAAGAAAGUGAAUGUCUGUUGAGGGCUUCCUAUAAGGCCAAUACAUACAGGUGUUCCCAACAACAGAAGUCCCCUGAACUCCUUGACACCUAUCAAGAAGGGACAGAUGCUGUGUUUACACCCACAAGCAGCUUUGUGUUUACCAAUUCAAACUUGGACUUCAGAGAAAACAGAGAGCACUCUACUAUGAUAACACAGAACUAGUACCAUAAUUUUUUUUGGUUAAGAAAGGUAUGUACGUUCUGGAAGUUACCUGGGUAGAAUAAAAAACAGAAUAAAAGUGGAAAGAACAAAAGAAUUUAAAAAAUGAAUAGAAUUUAUUUUCAAAUAAAUGUGCAUUUUGUUAACCAAAAUAAUAAACAUUAAAUGUGUUUGUGUUUUGUGCCACAUAACUAUUUUUUAAUGUCCUAUUAUUCACAGCCUAGUUAGAGGACCAGGGGUUCAUUGAAGUCAGCAUGUUUA